GUGGUGGUAUGUGGUGUUAAUAAAAUGUGGGUGUUAGUAUGGUGGUGACACACGCAAACUAAUAACGGUAGAUCGAUCUCUUUCAUCAAUAUUGUUAUGCAAAGAAAUGCAUAACUUUGGACCUAUAUGGGUAGUGAUGUGAGUUAUGUUAAAGAAGAUGUAAGUGAUGGUAUCUGGUGUGCCAGUAGUGGUGUACAGUUGGUGGUAUGGGGUGUAUAGGUGGUGUGUAAGUGGUGAAUAGGUGGUGGUAUGUGGUGUAUAGGUGGUGGUAUGUGGUGUUAAUGGAAAUGUGAGUGAUAGUAUGGUGGUGAUAUAUGCAAACUAAAAACGGUAGAUCAAUCUGUCAUGCUAAGAAAUGCAAAACUAUAUAGGUAGUGUUGUGAGUAAUGUUAAAGAAGAUGUAAGUGAUGGCAUCUGGUGUGGCAGUAGUGGUGUACAGGUGGUGGUAUGGGGUGUAUAGGUGGUGUUUGAGUGGUGUAUGGGUGGUGAUAUGUGGUGUUAAUGGAAAUGUGAGUGGUAGUAUGGUGGUGUUAAUGGAAAUGUACGUGGUAGUAUGAUGGUAAUACAUGCAAACUAACAACGGUAUAUCUAUCUCUUUCGUUGAUAUUGAUAUGUAAAACUAUCAAUUCUCAGACCUGUAUAGGUAGUGAUGUGAGUAAUGUUAAAGAAGAUGUAAGUGAUGACAUCUGAUGUGUCAGUAGUGGUGUACAAGUGGUGGUAAGUGGUGGUAUGUGGUGUAUGAGUGGUGUUAAUGGAAAUGUGAGUGGUAGUAUGGUGGUAUUAAUGGAAAUGUGCGUGGUAGUAUGAUGGUGAUACAAUGUACAUGCAAACUAAUAACGGUAGAUCUACCUCUUUCGUUGAUAUUGAUAUGUAAAACUAUCAAUUCUCUGACCUGUAUAGGUAGUGGUGUGAUUGGUGUAAAAACAAAAACAAAAACAAAAAACCGGUGUUAAAACACAUGUGUUAGCAUCCGAUGUGCCAUUAGCUGUGUGUAAAUGGUGUUUAUGGAAAUGUGAAUGGUGGUACGUGGUGUAUAAAUGGUGGUAUGUGGUGUUAAUGAAAAUAAGGGUUGUGGUAUGUGGUGUUAACGAACGUGUAGGUAGAGUGUGUGCGAUGUUAACGAAAGUAUGAAUGGUAGUAGUUGGCUGGUUAUUUCACAAUUUUCACCCUUAUUAUACACCACUUGUGGAUGAAGUACUAUGAUUAAUGGUUAUUACCCCCUAGUAGCGAGGGCUCUUUAGCGUGCAAACGCCUACCGCCAUAGGGCCUUCCGAAAGACCCGUAAAUGCAGUGCAUUUGGAGGGCCAAUCACUACCAAUGUUUACGUCUUAGGUUGGCGAUGGCAUGAGGAGGAUUCGAAUUCAUGAGCUUCCGGUUAGGAAGCAAACGCUCUACCAUUGAGCAAUGCGACCGGUAAUUGCGUGGUGGUGGUGGUGGUGGAAGUAUAUAAAGAACCUAAAAGCCAGGAAUUAUUCGUUUACUUGCAUGACAAUCUGAGCAGUGUUUAUAUACUUCCACCUGAAGUGUGUCACAGUCUGUAUAAUGGAAUGAUAACGUGUUGUAAAGUUCUAACGAGAUACAAAUGGAGUUUAUCAUUUUGGUUCGUGGAUUUAUCAGAAUAAAGAGAAUCUUAUAUUUUCGGAAGCAAUCAACAGUUGUGAUCGAGAAGAGAGAAGGAGAAAAUUUCAAGUGUGAGAUUGUAUUUGAUGAGACUGAUAUGACAAUGGUACCAGAGCCAACUGUCAAACAGCACUCCAGCCAGCAACAUUUUCCUCUUGUAUUUUUUGACUUGGAAUCAACAGGAUUAACUAGAGAUUCUCAUAUUACACAGCUGUCGUGUGUGGUGAAGAAAAAUGUUCCACCUAUACCUUUCCAAAAAUACCUAUCACAGUAAAAGCCUCAGAAAUCACAGGAAUCGAAAUUGUCAAUGGAAAUAUGUUUAACAAAAAUAUAGAAGUCAAGCCUUUCAGCAGGAAUGGAUGCUCUGCUUAAUUUUGUUUCAAAAUUUUAAACUAAAGUAAUUCUGCAUUUACAAUGGCAGUGUAUGAAUGUCAACAAUAUACAGAAUGUUUAUUGUAUACUAUACCCAAUUUAACAUUUUCUGUUUAU